GCAGGCCAGCCCUGUUCUUCCCCUCUGCCCACCCUGGGGAAUAGGGAAGGUGGGAGAGGAGAGGGGGGACCCUGGAGGACUGGAAGGAUCCAACCUAAAAAGGUUGCCCUAUGGGGCCCUGCACUAUGACCCUCAGGCCUGGGGACUAUCUGUGCCAGCCUUUCAGGCCCGUGCCCUCCCCCUGGAGCCCCUAGCACCAAGGCACAGAUUGUUAAGGCAGAUCCCCCCUACCCCUUACCCCACUUGAGCCCCUGACACCACAGGUGCCCUGGAGCCUGUGUGUGACUCAGCCUCUGUUAGCUGGGUGGGUGUCAUCAGCCCUGCUUCCCAGGCCAGAACCUGAGGAUGGGCCCAGGGUGCUGUGGAGAUCAACUUCAAAAGAGCUAACCCCCUUCCCACACCCCAGCGACCCACAUUCCCUCUGUGAAAUCUACCUCAGAGUUGUACCCUCAGAAGGACGGUCUUCCUAGGUCUCAGCCCCAGGCAGGUGGCAGUGGAUGCUCUUGUCAGUGCAUGUACCAUUCUGAUCCAACUCUUCCAGGCCCCCCACCUCCUCACACCCUUCCCCUCCUCAGUGCAGAGGAGUGAAGGGGUGUGUCAGGUGGGGAAGGGGCCAAGGACUCCAGAGACGCAUGGUAUUGUACCUUGAGUCUUUCCCCCAGGGAGGGGAAAUGGAGGAGGGAGACUGGAAAGGGGAGGUAGGGGCCCCUGAGUUCUCUGAACAAGUUGAAAGUCCAAAUAAAACUUACCUGUUCCAUCUGC